GUGUCAGCAGCCGCGGUAAUACGGAGGGUGCGAGCGUUAAUCGGAAUUACUGGGCGUAAAGCGCACGUAGGCGGUCAUGUAAGUGGGAUGUGAAACCCCCGGGCUUAACCUGGGACUUGCAUACCAGACUGCAUGGCUAGAGUAUGAGAGAGGGUGGUGGAAUUUCCGGUGUAGCGGUGAAAUGCGUAGAGAUCGGAAGGAACAUCAGUGGCGAAGGCGGCCACCUGGCUUAAUACUGACGCUGAGGUGCGAAAGCGUGGGGAUCAAACAGGAUUAGAUACCCUAGUAGUCC
rnacentral:rRNA from 1 species